rnacentral:rRNA from 1 species
UAUCCAUGCAAGUCGAGCGAGUCCCUUCGGGGGCUAACGGCGGACGGGUGAGUGACACGUAGGCAACCUGCCCGUAAGCUCGGGAUAACAUGGGGAAACUCAUGCUAAUACCGGAUAGGGUCUUCUCUCGCAUGAGAGGAGACGGAAAGGUGGCGCACGCUACCACUUACGGAUGGGCCUGCGGCGCAAUAGCUAGUUGGUGGGGUAACGGCCUACCAACGCCACGAUGCCUAUCCCACCUGAGAGGGUGACCGGCCACACUGGGACUGAGACACGGCCCAGACUCCUACUGCAGGCAGCAGUAGGGAAUUUUCCACAAUGGACGAAAGUCUGAUGGAGCAACGCCCCGUGAACGAUGAAGGUCUUCGGAUUGUAAAGUUCUGUUGUCAGAGACGAACAAGUACCGUUCGAACAGGGCGGUACCUUGACGGUACCUGACGAGAAAGCCACGGCUAACUACGUGCCAGCAGCCGCGGUAAUACGUAGGUGGCAAGCGUUGUCCGGAAUUAUUGGGCGUAAAGCGCGCGCAGGCGGCUAUGUAAGUCUGGUGUUAAAGCCCGGGGCUCAACCCCGGUUCGCAUCUGAAACUGUGUAGCUUGAGUGCAGAACAGGAAAGCGGUAUUCCACGUGUAGCGGUGAAAUGCGUAGAGAUGUGGAGGAACACCAGUGGCGAAGGCGGCUGUCUGGUCUGUAACUGACGCUGAGGCGCGAAAGCGUGGGGAGCAAUCAGGAUUAGAAACCCUGGUAGUCCACGCCGGUAACGAUGACUGCUAGUGUUUGGGGU